rnacentral:rRNA from 1 species
UACGGAGGAUGCGAGCGUUAUCCGGAUUUAUUGGGUUUAAAGGGUGCGUAGGCGGAACAAUAAGUCAGUGGUGAAAGACUGCAGCUUAACUGUAGACUUGCCGUUGAUACUGUUGAUCUUGAGUAUGGUCAAGGCAGGCGGAAUGUGUAAUGUAGCGGUGAAAUGCUUAGAUAUUACACAGAACACCGAUUGCGAAGGCAGCUUGCUGGGCCAUUACUGACGCUGAUGCACGAAAGCGUGGGGAUCGAAC